UAGGGAAUAUUAGAAAUGGACGAAAGUCUGAUCUAGCAACACCGCGUGUGCGAAGAAGGCCUUCGGGUUGUAAAGCACUUUUUGGCAGGAUUAGGAAGGAAUGUACUUCCGGAAUAAGUCUCGGCUAACUACGUGCCAGCAGCCGCGGUAACACGUAGGAGGCAAACGUUAUCCGGAUUUACUGGGCGUAAAGCGCGUGUAGGUGGUUCUGUAAGUAGGGCGUGAAAGCUCCUGGCUCAACUGGGAGAGGCCGUUCUAAACUGCAGAGCUAGAGGAUGGUAGAGGGAGGUGGAAUUCCGGGUGUAGCGGUGGAAUGCGCAGAUAUCCGGAGGAACACCAGUGGCGAGAGCGGCCUCCUGGACCAUGCCUGACACUCAGACGCGAAAGCUAGGGUAGCAAACG
rnacentral:rRNA from 1 species